GUAGGUGGCAAGCGUUGUCCGGAAUUAUUGGGGCGUAAAGCGCGCGCAGGCGGUUCUUUAAGUCUGAUGUGAAAGCCCACGGCUCAACCGUGGAGGGUCAUUGGAAACUGGAGAACUUGAGUACAGAAGAGGAAAGCGGAAUUCCACGUGUAGCGGUGAAAUGCGUAGAGAUGUGGAGGAACACCAGUGGCGAAGGCGGCUUUCUGGUCUGUAACUGACGCUGAGGCGCGAAAGCGUGGGGAGCAAACAGGAUUAGAUACCCUGGUAGUCCACGCCGUAAGCGAUGAGUGCUAAGUGUUAGGGGGUUUCCGCCCCUUAGUGCUGCAGCUAACGCAUUAAGCACUCCGCCUGGGGAGUACGGCCGCAAGGCUG
rnacentral:rRNA from 1 species